rnacentral:rRNA from 1 species
UACGUAGGGUGCGAGCGUUGUCCGGAAUUAUUGGGCGUAAAGAGCUCGUAGGCGGCUUGUCGCGUCGAAUGUGAAAACUCGGGGCUCAACCCCGCGCUUGCAUUCGAUACGGGCAGGCUCGAGUUCGGUAGGGGAGACUGGAAUUCCUGGUGUAGCGGUGAAAUGCGCAGAUAUCAGGAGGAACACCCGUGGCUAAGGCGGCUCUCUAGUACGGUACUGACGCUGAGACGCGAAAGCGUGGGGAGCAAACAGG